rnacentral:rRNA from 1 species
ACAGUGGACGCGAGCAUCAAAUCUUUGUGGCCAAGUUAAUAAGGGCGCACGGUGGAUGCCUUGGCACCAGGAGCCGAAGAAGGACGUAGGAGGCUGCGAUAAGCCUCGGGGAGCUGCCAACCAAGCUGUGAUCCGAGGAUUUCCGAAUGGGGAAACCCAACAGGAGUCAAGUCCUGUUACCCAUACCUGAACAAAAUAGGGUAUGCGGAGGGAACGUGGGGAAGUGAAACAUCUCAGUACCCACAGGAAGAGAAAGCAACCGCGAUUCCGUUAGUAGUGGCGAGCGAAACCGGAUCAGGCCAAAACCAAGUACGUGUCAAAGCCGGCAGGCGUUGCGUACUCGGGGUUGUGGGACCGUUCAGUUGAUUCUGCCGAAUCAGCAGGGAGUCAAAAAGUGUCGUUGUUAGCCAAAGACCUCUGGAAAGGGUCGGCAUAGAGGGUGAAACCCCCGUAGGCGAAAACACGACGCCUCCCGAACGUCAUCCCAAGUAGCAGCGAGCCCGUGAAAUUUGCUGUGAAUCUGGCGGGACCACCCGCUAAGCCUAAAUACUCCCUGGUGACCGAUAGCGGAUUAGUACCGUGAGGGAAAGGUGAAAAGUACCCCGGGAGGGGAGUGAAAUAGUACCUGAAACCGUGUGCCUACAAGCCGUGGGAGCGUCGUCGCACCUAGUGCGGCCGUGACUGCGUGCCUUUUGAAGAAUGAGCCUGCGAGUUAGUGGUGUGUGGCAAGGUUAACCCGACGAGGGGAAGCCGUAGCGAAAGCGAGUCCUAAUAGGGCGGAUGAGUCGCAUGCUCUAGACCCGAAGCCGAGUGAUCUACCCAUGGCCAGGUUGAAGCGCGGGUAAGACCGCGUGGAGGACCGAACCCACCAGGGUUAAAAACCUGGGGGAUGAGCUGUGGGUAGGGGUGAAAGGCCAAUCAAACUCGGUGAUAGCUGGUUCUCCCCGAAAUGCAUUUAGGUGCAGCGUCACGUGUUUCUUGCCGGAGGUAGAGCACUGGAUGAUCUAGGGGGCCUACAAGCUUACCAAAAUCAACCAAACUCCGAAUGCCGGUAAGUGAGAGCGUGGCAGUGAGACUGCGGGGGAUAAGCUUCGUAGUCGAGAGGGAAACAGCCCAGAUCAUCAGCUAAGGCCCCUAAGCGUGUGCUAAGUGGAAAAGGAUGUGGAGUCGCCCAGACAACCAGGAGGUUGGCUUAGAAGCAGCCACCCUUGAAAGAGUGCGUAAUAGCUCACUGGUCAAGUGGUUCCGCGCCGACAAUGUAACGGGGCUCAAGCACACCGCCGAAGCUAUGACAUUCAUGCAGUAGCCUGCCGCUGGCCUACGGGUCAGUGGCCAGGUGUGUGGAUGGGUAGGGGAGCGUCGUGUGGCGAUGGAAGCGGCAGGGUGACCUAGCCGUGGACGCCACACGAGUGAGAAUGCAGGCAUGAGUAGCGAAAGAGGAGUGAGAAACUCCUCCGCCGAAUGACCAAGGGUUCCUGGGCCAGGCUAAUCCGCCCAGGGUAAGUCGGGACCUAAGGCGAGGCCGACAGGCGUAGUCGAUGGACAACGGGUUGAUAUUCCCGUACCCGCAAUGAGCGCCCAUGCAGAACCUAGGGAUGCUAAGCGCCAGAAGCACCGCGGACCCUUCGGGGGACGAGGUGUGGAUCGCGUGACCCGAACUGGUAGUAGGCAAGCGAUGGGGUGACGCAGGAAGGUAGUCGUACCAGUCAGUGGUAAUACUGGAGCAAGCGUGUAGGGCGUGGUGUAGGUAAAUCCGCAUCACACAUAGCCUGAGACGUGACGCAUAGCCGAAUGAGGCGAAUUCGAUGAUCCUAUGCUGCCAAGAAAAGCCUCUAGCGAGCUCGGCGCGGCCCGUACCCUAAACCGACACAGGUGGUCAGGUAGAGAAUACUAAGGCGAUCGAGUGAACUGUGGUUAAGGAACUCGGCAAAAUACCUCCGUAACUUCGGGAGAAGGAGGGCCAGAAAGCGUGACGGGACUUGCUCCCCGAGCGUUGGCUGGCCGCAGAGACCAGCGAGAAGCGACUGUUUACCAAAAACACAGGUCCGUGCGAAGUCGCAAGACGAUGUAUACGGACUGACGCCUGCCCGGUGCUGGAACGUUAAGGGGACGGGUUAGCCUUUCGGGGCGAAGCUCAGAACUCAAGCGCCAGUAAACGGCGGUGGUAACUAUAACCAUCCUAAGGUAGCGAAAUUCCUUGUCGGGUAAGUUCCGACCUGCACGAAUGGCGUAACGACUUCUCGACUGU